AGAACGCCGUCCGUGUGUGCAUGUUCAAGAUCGCGCCACCACGGUCCUCUUCCCCCUCGUCCCAUGGUCCUUCCGCUGAUUAUUCAGAGACGCAAGACGUUCACCGUCGUGGAUCCAGCUCGAUCAGCUCGUGGCCGUGUGGUCUUGCAUUACGCAACGUUGUCGAAUGGCUCUGUUGCAGUUGGCAGGCAACAAAGUGCGAUACACAGUCACGGCGAGGAACGAGAAGCUCGGCGAAGAGGUCGCACGGAAGAGAUUGACAGAGGAGGAUGCCCAGGGCGGGAGAGAACGAACGGAGAGAAACGGAGCGAGAGGGAGGGAGGGGGAGGGGAAGGGAGCGGGACGGGUGGGGUCGAAGAGGAAGGGAGCUUCGUGUGCUGAACAGAAUCAGCAAUUCUAACCCACCAAGGGGGCCACUAACCGACGAGCGGGCCAAGCGGCGUCAGGGGGCCGGGGCAACAACCGACGUUGACCUCCACGACAACCAUCAUCGGCGGCUGCAGUGGCCGGCGACGGCGGCUAUUCCCUACUCCGACGGCUCCUCUUCCUCGAGCACAAUAAUUCGCCGUCAUUUCGCACGCUCCGACUUCUCCGCCGCUCGCGCGAAACCUCCUAUCUGUCCUACAUCGCGUCGAGAGAAAAAGAAAGAGAGAGAGGAGACCCCGAGAAAACAUAAGAAUGCUCGAUCAGAUUGUUGAAUCCAAAUCGUUCAAACGUGAAGAACGCGGCUGCAACGACAACAACGACAAUGCGCGCCCUUUAGAAGAUUCAUUAACCUUUCGCUACCCCCGUAAAACACACUUCCGGGGAGAAUCAGUCCCGAUUGGUGAAAAACGCGAAUCGAGACGGCGAAACUGUCCGCACUUGUUCGUAAUAAUUGACGCGGAUAGAUCGUGAAGACACGAAGCGGAAAACCUGGAUCUUGGCAUUAUACCGAUACUAUCGUUCUCGCUUCACAAGAAAUAGCAAGCAACGGCAAGACGAUCAGGAUGAUGGAUGGCGAAGUGAUCGACACACGUAUUUUUUUUUUAUAUUCAUGAAAUUUCAUAAGCACGAGGCCUUUUGUUUUUAUUAUCUCUGUACAAAAACAGUCGAAAAAAUUAUAGAUUUUCUUUGUUAAAGAUUUAAUUUUUACUGGAGCUUCACGGCAUAUGUACAAGCAAACUAAGAGCCAUCGUAACCUAAAAACUAAAUAUAAUUAUACAUUGAUAUAAUAGAUAUAAUAAUUAUAAUUCAUUAUAAUUAAUAGUAAAUCUACGAGUCUACAGAUUCGAGUAUGGGUAUGUGUGUUUUGUGUGUAUAUAUGUAUGUAUUUGUAUCGCGUAUGUAAGUGUAUUCAUGUUCGUGUUAAUGUUGUGUGUAUACUCGUGGACAUGCGUGUAGACUUGUAAAGCGAAUUUUAUACAGAAUUCAUCGAGUGGCAUCUCGCUCGCAGUCAACGCGCAGAAACGUAUCGAUCUUCUUAUUUAUUCGCGCUCUCUCUUUCCGUUCUUUCCGAACAGUGCACUAUCCACAACAGGGCCGCCGAAUUCGGACUCCGCAAAAGACCUUGGGUCGCUGUUGUCUCACAUACGCUAAACGAAAUCACUACGAGCUCACUAAUCAGUAUUCGUAUAAUUAAUUCGUCAUCAAUUGUAUGUACAAUUGUAUUACCAUGGGACCCACGGGCCAACUUGACCGAAUUGAGCACCCCUGCCCGGCCUCUAUCACGCUCUCGCUCUCUCUCACACACACACUCUCUCGCUCUCUUUCGCUAAUUCUCAUCUCCUCUUAAUUUUUCUUACUCCCUUCAAUGCCAACUCCCGCAUCACCAAUUUUACUUCACCGAGAAUCUAUUGCUUCCUCGUACUCAUCCCCGUGCGCACAAUGAAAAAAAAAAAAACCGAUCUCUCCAAAGAAAGGGAAAGCACUCAGCGAAGAGCCGGCCCUCGAGUUCCGUUUCUCCCGCUAUUUCUAUUCUUUCUUACGUGCGGCCAAGGAGGAAGAAGAAUCCAGAAAAUGUGAACAUAUAACAAGCGAUUGGAGAUUAUAACGUGACAAUCGUUAAUUUCGAGACGGAUUUCGGAUUAUCGAGCAACGUUAUCGACUAUGAUUCACCACGUUUUCUUUAACAACGUAAAUUUAGAGCUGACGCAAUGAGGAUAAUUCCGUAACAACGACGAGAUGCACUUCAAGCCGGAGUACAAUUAUGAUUAUUACUCACGUUGUUCGGUACAAACAAAGCCGGUUUCACCAACGCCAAUCGCUUCAAACUGAUUUAAUUCUUCGCUAUAUUGCGUCACUAGAUAAUAAUAGAGACAUAAUAGAGGCAAAAAAAAGAAGAGAUGGUUACGAUUAAUGCAGACUGACGUCAGUGACACCGGCCUCUGUGCGACAGAGAAGUACCUCCCUUGUGUUUUCUUAUUGCGUUGGUGUUUUUGACAUGAGAUACGUCACGCUCCUUUCAUCCGCUCGAGCACGUCGCCACGUCAGUUGCGACCCGAGUAAUUAUAAUCUCGGUGAUUGCACGUUUUUCUUGGAAGAAAGCAAAACGAUAGUAAAAUGAGUGGGAUUCGUUCACCGUAUUUUCCUUUACGCAAGUCGCGCGAAAUCACUCGGAGAAAUUUUUCUUCCAGAACAUUCAUGAACAUUCAUGAACAUUUGUCUACUUUAUUGCGAGCCUUUAACUCUAAGAUUUCCCUUCCCCCCUGCCUCUCCAUCACGCGCUCUUUUUUUCUCACACAUACAAACACACACGCUCUCUCUUUCAUAAACUUUCUCUUCCCUUCUUCCACAAACCCUCCUCUCUCUCUCUCACACACAUUCUCUCGCGGACCGAAUCAUGCUCCUUUUUUUAUGAUUUAUCUUGAUUUUGUCUCGUUUUAUUUAAAAAAAUACUGAAUUAGUAACCAAGCUAAAAUCACAGACUUGCUGGUGCUUUAUCCCAGCGGGUUUGUACAAAUUCUUCCUGAAGGUCUCUCGCGCUCUUUUUCUCUCUCACUCUAUAUAUAUAUAUACAUAUAUAUAUGUAUGUAUAAUUACAGGAUGUAUAAAUGUACACAUACAUUUAUAUAUGUAUAUAAUUAUGUAUAUAUAUAUAAUAUAUGCGCAUAUAUGUAUAGUAAUUACAAUUUAUUCGUGAAAUAAAUGCUCGUAUUCUCCCACUUAGCUUUCUGUCCGUUUUUCUUUCUCUCUCUCUUUCUCUCUCAUUCUUUCUAACGCACUCUCUUUCACCCUCUUUCGUUCUCAGCAUUUGUCGAUAUUUAUAGUUUUAUCUGCGUGUUUGUGGGAACGGAUGAACAACAUGGAUUACAAGACAGUUCACGCGAAACGAGCGCGCCCUUUUCGUACCCGCGUUCUCCGCGAUGGAAACCGAAAACAAAGGGAAAGGAACGCGUGUCUCGUCGUCAAGCCGUCAGCAAAAUAAUCGUCGAAGGACGAGGCAGCGAAAUCUCUCCCGCUCAGCUCUCACACUUUCUCCGGCCCCGUCCCGCACUACUUUUGACAGGAGAUCACUGGUGCUCUAACAGCCGUCGAUACGGAGGAUCAAUCGUGUGUUUAUUCUCCGAUACGUAAAAUGAAGGAAACAAUAUUUUCUUUUUCACCACUGUCCUCGCCGACACCCGUGUUUAGCGCACAGCUCUCCGCCGGCGCUGACGUCACAUGAUAACAAUUCGAAAUAAUUUUUUUUUUUUUUUGGAUCGAUCGAUUCACUCCAUACGCGCUAAUGAAUACACGCGACGCUUGAUAUACGUGUAUAAUAAAGAUCUCCAAUUACUUUGACCUGUUACGCAUGACGUCAGAGCCCCGAGGAGUUUAUUAUAGGUUAGGCGAGGAUGUGGUUCUGUUUGCUUGUUCGAUGAUCGCCUUUCCGCCGUAACGCAAGUGCGUUCAGCGAUUUUCAAACGAGUCGUCGUUCGACACUUAAAUAGAUUGCACUACCCGCUUCCGUGAUGAUGUUUGUAAACGGAUACGCCGGAUUUCUUUUGUCGGGAUAUUAUUUAUUUUCGAACGUAAUUAACGUGUAGAUACGCGAUAAAAGGGAAAACACAUCGGCAUGAUAUCAGAGACACGAGAGCUAAAAGUGACGACCCGAUGGAAAACCGCCAAGCGCGCCCCCGAUAACCGCGGGUAAAAUUCUCGCACUUGUAUACGUAAUACAUAUAUGUACCAUUUACAUAUCGGUAUGUAUAAUAAGCGCACACGCCGCUCGUGUUUAGGUCGUUACAUACGGAGAUUGCUUAUAUUGUCUCUCUAUUCUUAGUAAUAAUCACAGACAUGGUUUCUAUAAUUGCUACGUACAGAGCCUUCUCUCGUUCGACGCCGAACACGAUGGGUUCUCUUUCCCCGACCUUUCAUCAUCCGUUCAACCAUUCGCAUACACCCACGCACACACGCAUGCAGUGCGACCAUUCGUACACAUUCACACACACACACACACACACAUUCGUUCUUACACGUGUAAACUCUCACCGUCCGUUCUCACGUGCUCGAAAAAAAAAAC